rnacentral:rRNA from 1 species
CAGUCGAGCGGUAGAGAGAAGCUUGCUUCUCUUGAGAGCGGCGGACGGGUGAGUAAUGCCUAGGAAUCUGCCUGGUAGUGGGGGAUAACGUUCGGAAACGGACGCUAAUACCGCAUACGUCCUACGGGAGAAAGCAGGGGACCUUCGGGCCUUGCGCUAUCAGAUGAGCCUAGGUCGGAUUAGCUAGUUGGUGAGGUAAUGGCUCACCAAGGCGACGAUCCGUAACUGGUCUGAGAGGAUGAUCAGUCACACUGGAACUGAGACACGGUCCAGACUCCUACGGGAGGCAGCAGUGGGGAAUAUUGGACAAUGGGCGAAAGCCUGAUCCAGCCAUGCCGCGUGUGUGAAGAAGGUCUUCGGAUUGUAAAGCACUUUAAGUUGGGAGGAAGGGUUGUAGAUUAAUACUCUGCAAUUUUGACGUUACCGACAGAAUAAGCACCGGCUAACUCUGUGCCAGCAGCCGCGGUAAUACAGAGGGUGCAAGCGUUAAUCGGAAUUACUGGGCGUAAAGCGCGCGUAGGUGGUUUGUUAAGUUGGAUGUGAAAUCCCCGGGCUCAACCUGGGAACUGCAUUCAAAACUGACUGACUAGAGUAUGGUAGAGGGUGGUGGAAUUUCCUGUGUAGCGGUGAAAUGCGUAGAUAUAGGAAGGAACACCAGUGGCGAAGGCGACCACCUGGACUAAUACUGACACUGAGGUGCGAAAGCGUGGGGAGCAAACAGG